rnacentral:snRNA from 1 species
AUUGCUUCUUGGCCUUUUGGCUAAGAUCGAAUGUAGUAUUUGUUCUCGUCAGCUUAAUUGUGUCUUCUAAUAUCCUAUUCUCUCUCCCUCU